AGCCACCGUCAUUUUUUUCUAGGGGCGAAAUUUAAUUGCAUACAAAAUCGGUAGUUGGAAAGUUCUCUGGGAUGAAGACUUAUGAGACUUUUUCUCCGGCGUGUGUUACUUCUGUUGGUGUGUGCAUGGCCCAGGCUACUAUACGGCUGUAAAAUGCUUCAAUUUCAGUUCCUCAGCAACUGUAACAAAGUAAAUAACAGACUGAAGAGAAAAUAAAGUCCCACACACACAAACACCUUUGCUACUUAAGGAGUCGCACUCGAACACAUUCACAGAGGAACACUGAACCGCAGGUGGGACUCACUCGCUCGACAACACAGCAACACGCACCCAAGGAAGAUCCUUUCACCCCAUCGAUGCCCAUCGCCAAGGCAACAUUCCCAGCACCAGCCUAAGUUACCCCCGCUGUCCACCAAACUGCUACCAUGACUAUGUACGGACUCCCGAUCCUGGCGGCUGUUUGCUGCAGUCUCCUUCUCCUCACGUUGUUCCCGGUCGGCUCAGAAUCAGCAAGCUGCUGCCUAAGAUACCGCCAACUCCAACGGUUGAAAUGUAAAGAUACCCACCACUAUUCCCUGCAGAACAUCAACGGGUCUUGCGACAUGCGAGCUGUGAUCUUCCACGUUGGACAGAAAUUUGUCUGUGCUGAUCCGAAUGGAAAGAGGACCAAACAUCUCAUGGCUUGUUUGGAUAACAAGGGGAGAACCCGCAACAGAUGGCAUUCCUGACUUCACCAAGAAUCAUAAUUGUUGCAUGAUGAUUGUAUCUUUUUGAAUAGCUUUUGUUAUUGUUCUCAUAGGGCUCACUUGUUUUUUGAAGUGGAACUUUACACCAGUCACGACAUAUUGAGCAACAAAGAUAUGAAUGUGAAAUUAAGAAAGUCCGAUACAAUGGAAAGACUCAACAAAAAUGUCUCAAUGGGGAAACUUGUCUUUUCUGUGGAAUGAUCAAA